rnacentral:rRNA from 1 species
CCUACGGGUGGCAGCAGUGGGGAAUAUUGGACAAUGGGCGAAAGCCUGAUCCAGCCAUGCCGCGUGUGUGAAGAAGGCCUUCGGGUUGUAAAGCACUUUCAGUGGGGAAGAAAGCCUUGGGGCUAAUACCCUCGAGGAAGGACAUCACCCACAGAAGAAGCACCGGCUAACUCCGUGCCAGCAGCCGCGGUAAUACGGAGGGUGCGAGCGUUAAUCGGAAUUACUGGGCGUAAAGCGCGCGUAGGCGGUCUGAUAAGCCGGUUGUGAAAGCCCCGGGCUCAACCUGGGAACGGCAUCCGGAACUGUCAGGCUAGAGUGCAGGAGAGGAAGGUAGAAUUCCCGGUGUAGCGGUGAAAUGCGUAGAGAUAGGGAGGAAUACCAGUGGCGAAGGCGGCCUUCUGGACUGACACUGACGCUGAGGUGCGAAAGCGUGGGUAGCAAACAGGAUUAGAUACCCGGGUAGUC